AAUAAUUACCAAGUAAAAAACGGAUAUCUCCAGUUAAAUCCAAUCGAUUCAUAUCAUAAUAGGCUGCUAAGAAAAGGUUAUGUAAUUAAUGAUAAUUGGGAAGGGUUCGUCACGUUGGCCUAUAAAUUGAUAUCACUUCACAAACAAAGAACACGUCACUUCUUCAAGCGGCAGUGUUUAUCUCAACAAUUCUGUGCAACUGUGGAAGCUGAAGCUGCUUCAUCAGUAAGAUCAAGAUCAUCAUCAUGAGCAAGAACGAGGACAAACACUACGUGGUGUGGAAGGGAAGGGAGCCAGGGAUUUACAAGUCAUGGGACGACGCCAAUGCGCAAGUUAACGGUUACUCGCGAAACUCCUUCAAGGGCUUUGACUCCUAUCCCGAGGCCAAGGAAGCCUAUAACCGUCCUAGCCUUUGGGAGAGCGACAAAGGCUCGUCGCAUUCCCAAAGUGCGGAGUCUAAAAGCUAUGGGAGUUCCACCAGCGGUGUUACGUCUGCCGGAUCCUACCAGUCUAAUGCCGGUUAUCAGUGGCAGCGUUCCAAGAAAAGUUAUUAUUGAAGAUCAUGGGAUAAUAAUGUUGUGAUCAGUCUGUUAAGUUUUAAGUGUUAGUAGUAUGCGUGUUUCAUUUUGCGUUAGCGUUUUAUCUGUGUUUUUACUCUUCUGUAACUAAUGAAUAAUUGGUAAAAUCUUUUUGCCUUA